rnacentral:tRNA from 1 species
UGUAUGUUGGUGUAAAGUGCACAAGGAUUUUUGGUGUCUUAGGAAAUGGUGUGAUUCCAUUGUAUAUAA